UAAGGGCCUGUUUGGUUUGAGAAAAUGUUUUCUAUUUUCAUUUUCUAGUUUCAUUUUCUGAAAACAGUUUUCAUUUUUAAAUUUCUAAAAUUAAGAAAACAUGUUUGGUUAGACUUGUUAUUUUCUAUUUUUGAAAAGUAAAAAUAUUGAAAAUGUGUUUGCAUUAACCAUUUUCAAUAAAACAGGUAUGAACUAUAUUUUGUAAAAAUUUAAAAAUGAAAUUUAUUACUAAGAAUACAUUCAUAUUUAUGAGAUUAAUUUUUAUACACCGACGGUGUAAAAAGUUAUACA
rnacentral:lncRNA from 1 species